GCCUGAUUGGCUCAGUCAGUAGAGCAUGAGACUCUUGAUCUCUGGAUUGUGAGUUCAAGCUCCACUUUGGGCA
rnacentral:tRNA from 1 species